CCUACGGGACGCAGCAGUGGGGAAUAUUGCACAAUGGGGGGAACCCUGAUGCAGCGACGCCGCGUGGGUGAGGAAGUACUUCGGUAUGUAAAGCCCUAUCAGCAGGGAAGAAAAUGACGGUACCUGACUAAGAAGCCCCGGCUAACUACGUGCCAGCAGCCGCGGUAAUACGUAGGGGGCAAGCGUUAUCCGGAUUUACUGGGUGUAAAGGGGGCGCAGACGGCAGCGCAAGCCAGGAGUGAAAGCCCGGGGCCCAACCCCGGGACUGCUCUUGGAACUGCGCGGCUGGAGUGCAGGAGGGGCAG
rnacentral:rRNA from 1 species